GGCUUUCUAAUCUGACGGCGCCUAUAUAGUUAAGAGGCCAAAAACAAUAUGAUCAACGGUGUGCGCGCUGCACGAUAUCAUUAACUACCCGAUGAACAAGCUUGAACCUCAGGCGAAGCCGCUGCUCAUCUGCUCCGAUUACCCGAAAAUGGCCUCGGCUCCCAAAGAAGAUAGAAACCCAAGCUCUGGUAAAAGAGUAGCUGUUGUAGGUGGUGGUGUCAGUGGGCUUGCUGCAGCGUACAAGUUGAAAUCUCAUGGGUUGAAGGUCACAGUAUUUGAAGCUGAAGAAAGAGCUGGAGGAAAGCUGAGAAGCAUUUCCCGUGAUGGUUUAAUUUGGGAUGAGGGUGCAAACACCAUGGCUGAGAGUGAACUGGAGGUCAAGAAUUUAAUCGAUAAUCUUGGGCUUCGAGACAAACAACAAUUUCCAAUUUCACAGAACAAACGAUAUAUUGUAAGAAAUGGGAAGCCGGUAAUGAUACCCACAAAUCCGAUUGCGCUGAUCACGAGCAGCAUUCUUUCUGCACAAUCAAAGUGUCAGGUCAUUCUGGAGCCAUUUUUGUGGAAGAAACACGAGUCCUCGAAAGUGCACAAUGCUUAUACUGAGGAAAGUGUUGGUGAGUUUUUUCAGCGUCAUUUCGGGAAAGAGGUUGUUGAUUAUCUUAUUGACCCUUUUGUUGCGGGCACAAGUGCUGGAGAUCCUGAAUCUCUUUCUGUACGCCAUUCUUUUCCAGGGCUAUGGAAUUUGGAAAAACGAUUUGGUUCUAUUAUAGCUGGGGCAGUUCUGGCAAAGUUAUCUACCAAAAGGGAGAAGAGCAAGGAAACAAAAGUACCUUUGGAAAAGAAGAAACGUCAACAUGGUUCAUUUUCUUUUCUCGGUGGAAUGCAGACGCUAACUGACAUGUUGUCCAAAGAGCUGGAGAAAGAUGAACUUAGACUAGGAUCAAAGAUCUUGUCAUUGUCUUACAAUCAUGAUUCGAAGUCGGCAUUAGAGAAUUGGUCAAUUUCUUAUGCUUCUAAGGGUUUCAAACAUUUGCAAGACUCAUCUUAUGAUGCUGUAAUCAUGACGGCUCCAUUGUGCAAUGUUAAAGAAAUGAAGAUCACAAAAAGCAGAAACCUCUACCCGCUGGACUUUCUUCCUGAGGUGAGCUAUAUGCCUGUAUCAGUCAUUAUUACCACUUUUAAGAAGGAGAAUGUGAAGAGACCCCUUGAAGGCUUUGGAGUUCUUGUUCCUUCUAAAGAACAAGAAAAUGGUCUAAAAACUCUUGGUACACUCUUUUCCUCUAUGAUGUUUCCAGAUCGUGCGCCCAGUGACCUAUAUCUCUAUACAACUUUUGUUGGUGGGAGUCGAAACAAGGAACUGGCAAAAGCUUCAACGGAUGAUCUGAAACAGAUUGUUACUUCUGACCUUAGGCAACUGUUACAAGCAGAGGGAGAGCCCACAUUUGUGAAUCACUUCUACUGGAGUAAAGCGUUUCCCUUGUAUGGGAGGAAUUAUGGUUCAGUACUAGAAGCAAUUGAGAAGAUGGAGAAAAAUUUGCCCGGAUUCUUCUAUGCAGGCAACCAUAAAGAUGGACUCUCUGUUGGCAAAGCAAUAGCAUCUGGAUGCAAAGCAGCUGAUCUUGUAAUAUCCUAUCUGGAAUCUUCUUCACAGGAAAAGAUGCUGAAAGAAGGGUCAUUACCAUAGGAAUAGAAAUGGUCUUCCUGUUUGGUUGAUUGAUACAUCUGAUUUCAAUUGCAAGCAGCAAGCAAGAAUGCAAAGCUUUUACAGUAAAAAUUAAUAUAAGAAGGUAAGAGCAAUUUUUUUUUCCAAAAUUAGAAUUUUAUUUAUAAUAUUAAUAGGAGAGAAAAAUUAAUAGUCAAAUCUAACCAAGGUUUAUAGAUCCGUCUAAUUUUGAGAUUUAAUUUCUGAAAUUGUUCACCUAAUUAAUCACAUUCAAAAAUUAGGUAAUUGUUUCUUAUUUAAUAAAAACUCCUAAAAGUAGCAAUUCAUUUUGCUUAAAA
rnacentral:misc_RNA from 1 species